rnacentral:lncRNA from 1 species
GCCAGAACCUUAUAAUUUCUAGUCGAAAUAUGGUGCUGGUUUUGGUGUCGAAAUUAUAUGUUGAUGGAGCAUUGUUCAUGGUAUUGGUUAUCAAUUCAACUAUUUUUUAAUGUGUCCAAGUUGUCUAAUUGAUUGGUGAAGUUCUCGACUAAAGACAAGGAAAAAGAUGGCAACUGUCAAAGAAAGUGGAACGUGGCAAUUAUGGAGGUGGAAGUGGUGCAAGGAGUUACCUGAAGUAUAGCUACGGGAAGUUGACACAAGUUGUUGCAAGUUAUUUUAUUUGUAAUUAUGCCAAGUAUGUGGCUAUAAUGUAGGGAGUUAUUUUCUAAGAUUUAAUCUCCACCGUAGGAUUAGAGUAGCAGUUUCCUCUUAAGCUCUAUAAAUAUCAGUUUGUAAUAUGAACAAGGGGUUGGAUUCCUAAAUGACUGCAAAGCUCUAAAAAAGCCUUCAAGCCCACGGUUAUGGCAAACGGCUUCAACGAGUGUGCAGUAGACGGAUUCCUUCCACCAUUUACCAUUCCAGUAAUGAAUUUGCUUCGUUCUUAUUUGUUUUCUCUUUGAUUACCUUUUGAUUCCUUGCGAUCUUUUUUAUCUUCUUUUAAAUUUCUACUUGUUUCUACAUCUAUUGCAAUACUCACCGGAGUGUUGUUUCUUUCAAGUUGUCACCGGACAACUUCUUCACUUUUGUUUUCACUCUUGAAAACACACAUAAAUUGCCUGUAAGCCGUCGGACUUGGAGAGCCCAUGAAAUAGGAUCUGAUCCUUGAAAUAAUUAAUUUACAUGUGAUUUUACGAAAAAUCAGUGUAAACAAAUUGGCGCUAGAAGGAGGGUCAUUUCAAGUUUGAAGCAGGGCAUGUGUGUUCGAAAAUUUUGGUUUUUAUGGAUGUUCAUGCUUCAAGUUUUGGAAUUACAAGUCUGAAAAUUCCAUACAUGAUACAUUCAGUAUCACUUCCACGAAAGGGAAUUGGAUGAAGUAAUUUCAAGCACUUAGUUCGAAUUUCGGCUCACAUAGCCGAAAAUGAAAUUAAACGGUUUUUCAAAGCCGCAGAAAAAAUUGGCUGCGUUUUAAAGCUAAUGAACAUAUUGUUGUGGAAGGCUUAAUGGCAUCACCAAGUUCGAAUUGGCCUCAUGAUUUCCAAUUUGGCCAAGUUAAAGUUCAAGAAGAGUCUUUUGAAGUCUCAAAAUGACGUUGAAAAUAUUCAUAGUUGAAAGAAUAUGGUGCUGUCCACAGAAUCUGAAUUGGAACUGUACAAGGAGAACUCAAAGAAUAUUCAAAUGGGAAAUGGCUAAAUAAACAUGGAAGGCCAUGAAGUGUUUGUUCAAAUUUUGGUAUUGCAAUUCAAAUGUUAUUCCUCUCACUUCCUUCGAGCAACAACAUUUGGGGGGCCUCUGUUGAUACCAAAAUUUUAUAUAUAUCAUGUGUCAGAACCUUAUAAUUUCUAGUCGAAAUAUGGUGCUGGUUUUGGUGUCGAAAUUAUAUGUUGAUGGAGCAUUGUUCAUGGUAUUGGUUAUCAAUUCAACUAUUUUUUAAUGUGUCCAAGUUGUCUAAUUGAUUGGUGAAGUUCUCGACUAAAGACAAGGAAAAAGAUGGCAACUGUCAAAGAAAGUGGAACGUGGCAAUUAUGGAGGUGGAAGUGGUGCAAGGAGUUACCUGAAGUAUAGCUACGGGAAGUUGACACAAGUUGUUGCAAGUUAUUUUAUUUGUAAUUAUGCCAAGUAUGUGGCUAUAAUGUAGGGAGUUAUUUUCUAAGAUUUAAUCUCCACCGUAGGAUUAGAGUAGCAGUUUCCUCUUAAGCUCUAUAAAUAUCAGUUUGUAAUAUGAACAAGGGGUUGGAUUCCUAAAUGACUGCAAAGCUCUAAAAAAGCCUUCAAGCCCACGGUUAUGGCAAACGGCUUCAACGAGUGUGCAGUAGACGGAUUCCUUCCACCAUUUACCAUUCCAGUAAUGAAUUUGCUUCGUUC